UACCUCAGUGGUUAAGUGUUUGGCUGCUAACCAAAAUGCUGGCAGUUGGAAUCUGCC
rnacentral:tRNA from 1 species